GAUGAACGCUGGCGGCGUGCCUAAUACAUGCAGGUCGAGCGAACGGACGAGAAGCUUGCUUCUCUGAUGUUAGCGGCGGACGGGUGAGUAACACGUGGAUAACCUACCUAUAAGACUGGGAUAACUUCGGGAAACCGUAGCUAAUACCGGAUAAUAUUUUGAACCGCAUGGUUCAAAAGUGAAAGACGGUCUUGCUGUCACUUAUAGAUGGAUCCGCGCUGCAUUAGCUAGUUGGUAAGGUAACGGCUUACCAAGGCAACGAUGCAUAGCCGACCUGAGAGGGUGAUCGGCCACACUGGAACUGGGACACGGUCCAGACUCCUACGGGAGGCAGCAGUAGGGAAUCUUCCGCAAUGGGCGAAAGCCUGACGGAGCAACGCCGCGUGAGUGAUGAAGGUCUUCGGAUCGUAAAACUCUGUUAUUAGGGAAGAACAUAUGUGUAAGUAACUGUGCACAUCUUGACGGUACCUAAUCAGAAAGCCACGGCUAACUACGUG
rnacentral:rRNA from 1 species